AUCUGGUACAUGUUGCAAAUACUAAAAGCAAAUAGUUGUUGCCUCGCAGUGUGAAGGCCGUCGUUAGGGAAAAAAUUUCCAGUAAGUUAGCAUUGAGUGUUUUAGAGUGGACCUUCACCGCUGAAAUAAGUUGAAUCACGUUUAUUGGACCUACACUCCCGCCCAUGCCUGCAUCACCAGUGGGGGGAGGGGAGGUUUUAUGCCAGAAAGCACAAUUUAAAUACAAGCAGUCGACUAAACUAAUGGAAAAGAGCUCUAAAACAGCCACAGCUUUGCUUAAAUGAACCCAUUAGGCCACUAUUUCAAUGCACGAUUUGGUGGAAAGGUUUCCAGUGUGACAGACUGCUCAUAAAGCAAGGCCGCCACCCGGUCAGGGCCGGGGCCAGGGCGCUGGGGUGCGUGGGAGAGGCAGCCGAACGGCGUUUCUCUACUUCCUCUAGAAAUCAAACGUACCCUCGCCCGAGGGUUUAAAAAACGGCAACAAAAACAAAAGGCUUCCCCAAAAGGGGCUGGCGCAGCUGCAAGGCGGGUGGGUUCGGGCGGCCCGGCCAGUAGCCCCGGGGGCUGCGCGGCCGCGGCGCACACGCCGGAAGUGCGCCGUGCGGCCCGGCUCUGCGCCGGCCGCGCGCUCGCGAGACCACGGCCCCGACGCCCCGGGACGGCCGCCCCCAGGUCGAGGAGGCUUCUCGGGCUGAGGAGACGAGCCGGUCCGGUAUGCUCAAGCCUCGUUUCCGCGCAGCCGCCACCGCGCUCGCCCCGCCGCUCCCCCGGGAACGGAACUCCGACUCCGAGCCGUUCCCCGCCGCCGCUCGGGUCCAGUCACUGGGCCGCCGUUGGAGCCGGCGAUGCCGUUCUCGCGGCGGGAGUGAAGCGGCUGCGGAAAGGUGAGGCUGUGAGAAGAGUCGGGGACGUGAUGGGAGCAGAACACAGCCGCUCUCUCCGUGGACCCUGGAGGACACCUGGGGCGAAGGGGAGCCUGGUGGCACCUGAGACAUAGGGCGGAGCCCCCUCA